rnacentral:misc_RNA from 1 species
UCCGAGUUGACCCCGGCAGUCUCCUAUGAGUUCCCGGCAUGACCCGCUGGCAACAUAGAACGAGGGUUGCGCUCGUUGCGGGACUUAACCCAACAUCUCACGACACGAGCUGACGACAACCAUGCACCACCUGUACACCGACCUUGCGGGGCGACUGUUUCCAGCCGUUUCCGGUGUAUGUCAAGCCUUGGUAAGGUUCUUCGCGUUGCAUCGAAUUAAUCCACAUAAUCCACCGCUUGUGCGGGUCCCCGUCAAUUCCUUUGAGUUUUAACCUUGCGGCCGUACUCCCCAGGCGGUCAACUUCACGCGUUAGCUUCGUUACCAAGGAAUUGCUUCCCCGACAACCAGUUGACAUAGUUUAGGGCGUGGACUAC